UUUUUCAAUGUAUAAUCAAUUGUAGGAUCUAUGCGAUUAUCCUCCCUCGUCCAUUGCUACAAGUAUAGAAUCUUCUUGUGUUUUUGGUUUUAAGCGGUCACACAAAUGUUCGUCUAUAAACAAUGGCUCUAAUCUCCAAGAACCCUCAAACAUUUUCAUGAACAUUGUUUUCUCUUCAUUAUAUUUUGACUGCUCUCGACAAUAAAGGGAGAAAAAAACAAUUUGAAGUGGUGAAUACAGAACAAAAUAGUUUGAAAUUAUUUGUUCUUGUGAAAAACUAGAGAAGUACAAUGAAAACAUAACAUUAACUACGAAAUUAACUCUCUGAAUUCUCAUAACAGAUGAUAGUGGCAACAGCAGACUCUGCCAUCAGACUAUCAGAGAGUUUAAACUUCAAUUUUAUUUACGUUACAAUUCAAGUUGUGUGAAUGUCACGUGUCCUUUAAUCCAAUUGCAGCCUUUUCUUCUUCCAACCCAUAUCUCAAAAAGUGUUACAUGCAGCUGAUAGAACACAUGCCAGUCAAUGGAUGGUUGUCUCCUGCUAAAAUCACCUCAGCAACAUCGUAAUUUCUUAAAACAAAAUUGGACAUGUUGGUGUAUGAGUGGCAAAAGUGGUUAGAGGCCAUGCAUCCGUUCAAGAAAAUUAGAGAAUCCUAACACAAAAACAUAAGUAAAUAAGAGGUUUAGGUUCUAAUGAUGGUACUUAUUAAUUAUUCCAACAUACAUCAGAUUCAGUUACACACUUGAGAUGAUCAUUUUGUUUUGGAACACUUUUUUUUUUGGAACACACACACUUGAGAUGAUCACACAUGCAUCUUUAUUACUAACUGAGACUUACAAAUCAACACACACACACACAAACAUAUACAUAUUCUCUGAGAAUCCUCUGUUUUGGUGGAAGAGGAACAAAAGCUUUUCCUCAGCCAAAGCAGCUGAUAGGGUCCUUACAGCUCUUUGAAGGGGAUUGUGCAUGGCCACUCUUCCCACCUUUGGAGAGGUAAUGCUGAUGGUAUUCUUCAGCUUUGUGGAAUUUCUUUGCCGAUUCACCAGGCUUGACGUUCCUAGCCUCCCAGUACCGCAGCAGACUCGCCUCCACAACCGAUGAACACCUACCGGACUUCAAAUCAGAAAAACACCCUUGAGUUAGCCAUUGAGAGAGAUGGGUAUAAGAAUCGAGUUUAAAAUAGAUGAGUAGCAGAGAGAUGAAUAGAUCGCAAGCUCCAGAAGAGGAAUGUCAACCAAGGAUCUGAACCGUUAAGGCUUGUUGUGGCAAAAUUGGGCCUUUAUUUAGUAAGCCCAUAAACUUUCGGGCCUCGCGAGAUAGUACUGUGCGAUCGGGCCGAAAGCGGGAUGGACCACAGGUUAACCUGCGGGAUAUUGAAGACCCGCAAAUAGUCUCCAUUUUUGCCUUCACCUGAAACAACGUGAGAGAGAGAGAGAGAGAGAGAGAGAGAGAGAGAGAGAGAGAGAGAGAGAGAGAGAGAGAGAGAGAGAGAGAGAGAGAGAGAGGAGGCGAUUCGGUCUUAGAUGUUCGCCGACGACAAAUGGAGCUCCGAUGACGGAUAUUUGAAGGUUGAUGAUACUUCCAGACUACUCCCAUGUGUCUUCUAUCUCCAAGAGUGGAGCUUCUUUAAGCCACCGGGAGAAGUAUUCGAACUCACUUUCCACCGAAGACGAGAUCCAGCUCCGGCGAUGGGUUCUUCAGCGACGGUGGGUUAUCUUCUUCUUCUGGAGCUCCUUUGCUUCGAUCCACCACCGGAGCUUCUAUUCUUCUUAGAUCCACUGCCAGAGCUUCUAUUCUUCUAAAAUCCACCACCGUCACUUCGCCUUCGCUGCAUGCAUGGUCGUCUUUUUCUCCAUUUAUCCUCUUUAGUUACUUGUUUUGUCACUGAUAUAAUUUUAUUGCUUGUGAUGCUUGCUUUUUAGCUUAGUUUGAUGUUAUGUGAAUGUGUUAUGUCUCUGUCUCGGUUUGCUAGGUAGCUCAGUUAACUGUUGUUUGAAAUUGUGGGUGUAUUCUAUCUCUAUUUUUGUAUUAAGUCUCGGAUAUGUAUUUUGUUUUUGUAGGUGAACAAAGAGGUGGCUGGUGAUGACUGUGAAUGCCGGUGUAGGCUACGAUAUAGCACACCGGGGUGUCCGGUCAUUACCACCAGCUGACGUUAUAUAACAAAUUAGUUUUGUGCACUUGGAGCAAGUUGUAUGUAGUGGAGCAGCCUGAAGCGUCCUGGAACAGCAUUCAGCAUCAAAAAGCAUCCUGGAGCAGCCUGCAGCGUCAAGAAGCCUCCUGGAGCGGCCUGCAGCGUCAAAAAGCGUACUGAUGCACUCCAUUAGCGUCUGUCCCGCAGGCCGUCCCGUAAAGGAUUGUGCACUUGGCAGGGCGGGAUUGGGCAGCCCUUUUGGAGACCGCAGUCCACGCGGAACUGACCCGCCGUGACCCGUAAAUAUGAGCCCGCUGUAGUACAGGACGGGACGGACCAACCUGUACUGGUAUAUUCUGUUGAGACUUGGAAUUCUCGUCUUAUUAGAGAAUGUUUACCAAGUCUGACCAAAGGUGCAGGAGUAUUCUUUUUGUAACAAUAGAUGACGUGGCAAAGAAGUCUGUGUUAAAAGAAGAUCUACUCGAAAUGAGAUAUUCAAGGAUUAUGUGACGAGA